UACGUAGGGGGCAAGCGUUGUCCGGAAUCAUUGGGCGUAAAGCGCGCGUAGGCGGCCCGGUAAGUCUGCUGUAAAAGUCAAAGGCUCAACCUUUGAAUGCCGGUGGAUACUGUCGGGCUAGAGUCCGGAAGAGGCGAGUGGAACUCCUGGUGUAGCGGUGGAAUGCGCAGAUAUCAGGAAGAACACCAAUGGCGAAAGCAGCUUCUGGGACGGUACUGACGCUGGAGACGCGAAAGCGUGGGGAGCGAACAGG
rnacentral:rRNA from 1 species